rnacentral:lncRNA from 1 species
GUGGAUUUCUGUUCAUCUGAGAACUGCUAUUAAACCUUCUCUUUCACCAUUACAAUAUAUUGCAUGAAACAGCUAAUUUUAGACACCUACUAAAACCCCAUUAUGUUGGGUGUUACAAUACAACAGUUUUCAAGACUCUAGUCAUCAUGUGCAAAAGUAAGGAAUUGUCCUAAAAAUAAAAUGCAUAUUGGUUCUUGCAAUGGCAAGGCGUUUGCAUUGCAGAAACAGUGUAUAUUUCAAUUUCUUUUGGUCCAACAGAACUACUCUCCUGUUGUUUGGUGUCUUCGACCAUUUGAAUGUUGUUGUAGUUAACAGGAAACUGUCCACUCCCACCUGAUACAACAGCAAACUCUCUGUCAACGUGCAUAUUGUCAGCAUCGUCCUCAACUCCUCCAUUCAUCAUUGGUAUUAAGCCAUCAAAGCUGUAAGCUUCCGUUCUAGCUUUCUUUACUCCAGCAGACUCCACAUCUUCAAAGGAUCUCUUUCGACUUGUC